GACGAACCGUCCAAACGUUAUUCGGAAUUACUGGGCUUAAAGGGUGCGUAGGCGGCGCGGUAAGUUGGGUGUGAAAUCCCUCGGCUCAACCGGGGAAUUGCGCUUGAUACUGCCGUGCUCGAGGGAGACAGAGGUGAGCGGAACUUAGGGUGGAGCGGUGAAAUGCGUUGAUAUCCUAAGGAACACCGAUGGCGAAAGCAGCUUUCUGGCGCGAUACUGACGCUGAGGCUCGAAAGCGUGGGGAGCGAACGGG
rnacentral:rRNA from 1 species